GAUGAACGCUGGCGGCGUGCCUAAUACAUGCAAGUCGAGCGAACAGACGAGGAGCUUGCUCCUUUGACGUUAGCGGCGGACGGGUGAGUAACACGUAGGUAACCUACCUAUAAGACUGGGAUAACUUCGGGAAACCGGAGCUAAUACCGGAUAAUAUUUCGAACCGCAUGGUUCGAUAGUGAAAGAUGGCUUUGCUAUCACUUAUAGAUGGACCUGCGCCGUAUUAGCUAGUUGGUAAGGUAACGGCUUACCAAGGCAACGAUACGUAGCCGACCUGAGAGGGUGAUCGGCCACACUGGAACUGAGACACGGUCCAGACUCCUACGGGAGGCAGCAGUAGGGAAUCUUCCGCAAUGGGCGAAAGCCUGACGGAGCAACGCCGCGUGAGUGAUGAAGGUCUUCGGAUCGUAAAACUCUGUUAUUAGGGAAGAACAAACGUGUAGGUAACUGUGCACGUCUUGACGGUACCUAAUCAGAAAGCCACGGCUAACUACGUG
rnacentral:rRNA from 1 species